rnacentral:rRNA from 1 species
AUACGGAGGGUGCAAGCGUUGUUCGGAUUUACUGGGCGUAAAGGGCGUGUAGGCGGAUAUGUAAGCUGGAGGUGAAAGCCCCGGGCUCAACCCGGGAACUGCUUUGUAGAACUGCAUAUCUAGAGAAAGUCAGAGGCAGGUGGAAUUCCUGGUGUAGAGGUGAAAUUCGUAGAGAUCAGGAGGAACAUCGGCGGCGAAGGCGGCCUGCUGGGGCUUUUCUGACGCUGAGGCGCGAAAGCGUGGGGAGCAAACAGGAUUAGAAACCCGGGUAGUCC